AACGAACGCUGGCGGCAUGCCUAACACAUGCAAGUCGAACGAGAUCUUCGGGUCUAGUGGCGCACGGGUGCGUAACGUGUGGGAAUCUGCCCUUUGGUUCGGAAUAACAGUUGGAAACGACUGCUAAUACCGGAUGAUGACGAAAGUCCAACGAUGUAUCGCCAGAGGAUGAGCCCGCGUAGGAUUAGCUAGUUAGUGUGGUAAAGGCGCACCAAGGCGACGAUCCUUAGAUGGUCUGAGAGGAUGAUCAGCCACACUGGGACUGAGACACGGCCCAGACUCCUACGUGAGGCAGCAGUGGGGAAUAUUGGACAAUGGGCGAAAGCCUGUUCCAGCAAUGCCGCGUGAGUGAUGAAGGCCUUAGGGUUGUAAAGCUCUUUUACACGGGAUGAUAAAGACAGUACCGGGAGAAUAAGCUCCGGCUAACUCCGUGCCAGCAGCCGCCGUAA
rnacentral:rRNA from 1 species